CAAUAGGGCAAACACAUGCUUUCAAGUUAUGCAUCAGCUAGCUUCUCUGCGUCAUCAACGUCUCUCACAGUAACUCCUCCACAGCAGCAAGUUAUCCCCAUUGCAGAAAUUUCAACACAGAAUUCGAUUGGAGUUUUCUAUGUUGAGGCAGAAAUGUCUAUUUCAAGUGAGCUGCAAAAAUUUUGUGUGCUUGAAUGUUCAGGAUGCAAACAAAAAAAGAGCACUAAAGAAAGAAGAGAAUUUGAAUGCACAAAGUUGGGUCGAUUACGGCAGUAAUUUCCGGAAAUAUAGCUGAGAAAAUGCUUUGCAUGACAGCAUAACAUAUAUUUGAAACAGCUUUGGUCAAGAAUCAACUCCUGUCCAUUAACCAUGUUCGUAAGAUGUUGUCGAAUAGACCGCUCCGAAUUCAAUUAAGAAAGUCAUCUUG